rnacentral:pre_miRNA from 1 species
AAAUAAACCACUUGGAGAUCUUGUUAAAAGGCAGAUUCUUACUCAGCAGGUAGGGCCCGAGACUCUAAAUUUAUGAUAGGAUCCCGGGUGAUGCCAAA